CAGUAGUCUAUAUCUGUACACUGC
rnacentral:siRNA from 1 species